rnacentral:rRNA from 1 species
GAUGAACGCUGGCGGCGUGCUUAACACAUGCAAGUCGAACGCGAAAGGGACUUCGGUCCUGAGUAGAGUGGCGCACGGGUGAGUAACGCGUAAGUAAUCUACCCCUGUAUUUGGUAAUAACCCACCGAAAGGUGAGCUAAUACCGGAUACGUUCAGAUUGGUGCGAAUCAGUUUGAAGAAAGGUGGCCUCUUCUUGAAAGCUACUGUACAGGGACGAGCUUGCGUACCAUUAGCUAGUUGGUAGGGUAAUGGCCUACCAAGGCGACGAUGGUUAGCGGGUCUGAGAGGAUGAUCCGCCACACUGGAACUGGAACACGGACCAGACACCUACGGGUGGCUG